AUCCGGCUGACGAGUCCCGAACGGUGCGAAACGCGCGUCUUGGAU
rnacentral:hammerhead_ribozyme from 1 species